rnacentral:misc_RNA from 1 species
GUGUGUGUUAACUCAGAUUAGUCAUAUGUUGGGAUAGGUGUUCAAUCAAGAGGGAAUUCAUUGCCUUGAGUAAACAGGGUUAAAAGUCCUAUGCGGAUUUGAGCUGUUCUUGACAAGAUUAAAUUCCUAGUCAGGACGGAUGACUUUUUCAAGAAAGGUGUUUCCUGAUGGUAAAGUCUUAUAUGUUAAGAAUCAAAUUUCAAAUGAGUGCAUAAGAUUGCACAAUGAGGGGUUUGACUCAACCAUGACCCUUAAUGGGAUUGGG